AUUGAACGCUGGCGGCAUGCCUAACACAUGCAAGUCGAGCGGAUGAAGGGAGCUUUCUCCUGGAACUCGCGGCGGACGGGUGUGUAAUGCCUAGGAAUCUGCCUGGUAGUAGUGGAUAACGUCCGUAAACGGGCGCUAAUACCGCAUACGUCCUGAGGGAGAAAGUGGGGGAUCUUCGGACCUCACGCUAUCAGAUGAGCCUAGGUCGGAUUAGCUAGUUGGUGGGGUAAAGGCCUACCAAGGCGACGAUCCGUAACUGGUCUGAGAGGAUGAUCAGUCACAGUGGAACUGAGACACGGUCCAGACUCCUACGGGAGGCAGCAGUGGGGAAGAUUGGACGAUGGGCGAAAGCCUGAUCCAGCCAUGCCGCGUGGGUGAAGAAGGGCUUCGGAGUGUAAAGCACUUUUAGUGGGGAGGAAGGGCAGUAAGUGAAUACCUGGCUGUUUUGACGUUACCAACAGAAUAAGCACCGGCUAACUACGUG
rnacentral:rRNA from 1 species